rnacentral:rRNA from 1 species
AACAAACGCUGGCGGCGUGCCUAAUACAUGCAAGUCGAACGGGGAAAGCUUUCGGGUGAGUACUAGUGGCGCACGGGUGAGGAACGCGUGGAUAAUCUGCCUUAGAGUGGGGGAUAACUAGUCGAAAGAUUAGCUAAUACCGCAUAAGACCAGAGGAGCUGAGGAUCAAGGGGUCAAAGGUUUUUCGCUCUAAGAUGAGUCCGCGUAAGAUUAGCUAGUUGGUGAGGUAACGGCUCACCAAGGCGACGAUCUUUAACUGGUCUGAGAGGAUGAUCAGUCACACUGGAACUGAGACACGGUCCAGACUCCUACGGGAGGCAGCAGUAGGGAAUAUUGCACAAUGGAGGAAACUCUGAUGCAGCGACGCCGCGUGAGUGAUGAAGGCCUUCGGGUCGUAAAGCUCUGUCGCAGGGGAAUAACACAAUGAAUGUACCCUGUAAGAAAGGAUCGGCUAACUUCGUGCCAGCCGCCGCCGUAAAAC